AUGUCGUUGUGCGCCCCGCCUGGCUGCGUCCCGGCCGGACCUGUGGAGCUGGGCUUCGCCGAGUUGGCACCGGCGUGGCGACUGCACAGCGAGCAGUUCCCCAUCAAGGUAGGCGGGCGGCUGGCGUGGCUGGGCGUGUCCAGGCUGCCGGGCACGGGGCCCUGGCCUGCGCGCCUUGUGGUCGCCCGCUUUCCUUCCUGCUGCAGGCGUAUGAGCCGCUGCCCGGCCGCGCCGACGCCUUCCACCGCGGCAUCUUCCUUUCCUGCUGACGCAAGCCACCAUACUGUGCCGGCCUGCGAGUUUUUAGGAAUCAGCUACCCAGAAAAAAUGAUUUUUAUUCAUAUGAGUCACCUUCUGAGAAUCCUCCCCCGGAAACCGAAUCAGUGUGUCUCCAACUUAAGUCUGGUGCUCAUCUAUGCAGGGUUUGUGGCUGUUUAGGCCCCAAAACGUGCUCCAGAUGCCACAAAGUGUAUUACUGCAGCAAGGAGCAUCAGACCCUAGACUGGAGACUGGGACAUAAGCAGAUCGUUUGGACCAUAUAAUUCGAGACCACAACUUCCUUUUUCCAGAAUUUGAAGUUGUAAAAGAAACAGAAGAUGAAAUAUUGUCUGAGGUUGUGGAAAGGAAGAUUACUCAGAGAUUAUAGGGAGCAUGGGUGAAGCACUUGAGGAAGAACUGGAUUCCAUGGCAAAACAUGAAUCCAGGGAAGGCAAAAUUUUUCAGAAGUUUAAAACUCAGAUAGCCCUUGAACCAGAACAGAUUCUCAGAUAUGGCAGAGGUAUUGCCCCCAUCUGGAUUUCUGGUGAAAAUAUUCCUCAAGAAAAGGAUAUUCCAGAUUGCCCCUGUGGUGCCAAGAGAAUAUUUGAAUUCCAGGUCAUGCCUCAGGUCCUAAACUACCUGGAGGCUGACAGACUGGGCAAGAGCAUUGACUGGGGCAUCCUGGCUGUCUUCACCUGUGCUGAGAGCUGCAGCUUGGGUAUUGGCUAUACAGAAGAAUUUGUGUGGAAGCAGGAUGUAACAAAUACACCGUAAGGGCAUCUUAAAGCCUUCAGAUAGGUUAAUCAUCUUUUACACCUUGCAAUUCCAUUUCUGGGACUUUAUCCUAAGGAAAUACUUAUACCAAAAAUAGAGGUGCAGAGAUGUUGAGACAUUGCUUACACAGUGUCUAUGUAUUAGUGAAACAAAAGUGUCCAGUGACAGAGAAUUAAAUAAAUUGUGGUACAUCCACA